GCUGCCUCCAAUUGCGGUGAGGCCUGCCAAACCGGGUCAGGUCGGAAACGAAGCAGCCCUGCGGUUUUGGUUCUCAGGUGUGAGCGGAGGUAGCGUU
rfam:Fuerstia marisgermanicae strain NH11 chromosome, complete genome.